AAGUAGGAGUUUAUUGAGGGUUAAUGGACAUCUUUCAGAUCUCUGGAAGAGGAAGGGAAACAGUCAAAGAGAAAAUGAAAACUUCAGAGCAGCUAAAUGUUCUUUUGGUUCAUCUUUCUUCUUUGCCAGCAGAUGCUGGCAAUAGUUACCACUGCAGCUUUACUCUUUUCAGGUAAUAAAGGUGAGACACUUAGGUGUCAAGAAGCAGUACUCUGGAAGGACUAAAUGGAUUGCAUCCAAGAGCUCUGGAAGAAUUAAAGAUAAAGGUCUAAGCCUGCACUUAAAACAAGCAUCCUCUGGGGUUUACUUGGCAACUAAUUUCUAGCUCUUCAACUAAUACUCCCAAGUGUCGUUUAUGAAAAUUUUGGUGGUGUUUUUGUGUUGUUUUGUUUUGUUUUGUUUUUCAUUUCUGGUGAACUUUUUGCAGACAGAAGGAGGCAGGAGUGGAACAGCAACCCCCCGAUCUGUAGAAUUAAGUGCUGCAUGUCAUCUCAGAAAUUACAGACUCCUGGGCUAUAUUUCAGUACCUGGUAACUAAAAAUGGCUUAGUGGUCAGAAAGUCAUUGAUGUUUGCUUCAGAGGUAGUAGUUAUUGGCAGAUGCCCAAUAAAAGGCAGAGCUGUUUUGUCAUCUGUCAAGGAGAUAGGAUGGUGGGGUUUAGGACCACUGCUUUGGUUUAUAAUGUAAAUGUAUAUGUCUGUUAAUUGUAUUCUUAAUUAGCUGCAUCAGUCUGGGUUUGCUGCUUAUGUAUGCUGUAUUUUAGUGACAAUUGACCGUUUUUACCUAUUCAGAAGGAGAAAGAUGUAAAAGCAGCUCGUGGAGUCAGUCUUUAUUGACUACUUGUGCAAUUCCUGGUUACCCUGACCAAGGUCAAGAGAUUGUGCCCAGGCAAUAAUUCGUCUGUCACAAGAACUCCUGUGUGACUCCUGCCGAUCGCUCGGAUUGCCCGCAGCAGUUGCCUUCACUCUUAAGGGAGAAGCCAGCUAACAAAAGAAAUCCUGAGGAGAGGGAAAAGCAUCGUAGCUAUGAAGAAAAAUUAAACAGACCAGGGAUCUUCAGCCUGUAAGGUAGCUGAGGAGAGAUCCAGUAGAGGUCUAUAAAAUUGUGAGUGGCCUGGAAAAAUGAAUUGGUUGCUACUCUUUUACUUCAGUUACCAGAAAAAAGCAGAUUCAGAAGAAACCAAAGGAGCCUUGAGAUGGAUUCUGAAGAUUUUGUCUCAAGGGGGAAAGUGCCCUACCCUUUUGCUGAAAGGUCUGCAUUAGGUCGUGCUGUUUGAUUUUACUUUAUGUUAAGAUCUUGGAUCUGAGGCUCAAGCCAGAGAGAAAGAAACUUCCACAGCAUCGCUGCAGGAUGACUGUGCCUAUGCAAUAACUACACAUAAAGGUGAAAACGUCUUUUCACCUGGGCAAAAGAACUAAAGCGAAAGUGAUCUCAGCUCUAGGAGCUUGUGUUCAAGAGCUAAAAUGGAGCCAGCACCUGAUUAAGGCAGAUUUGGUCAGGUAAGACAAUAGGCCCUGUGUUUUAAGAAGUAUGCCACAUUUCACAGCUUCUCCUGCUUCCUUUUCCACUGCAGUGCACAAUGUGUGUGUGAGUACAAACACACACACACACAUCGGCUUGUGCCCAGUUAGACCCAUUCGUGGCUUUAGUCUGCUUCUACAUGGAACGAAUGAAAGGUGACCCAGAUCUUUCAAAUCCCACAUCCUUCUCUAUCUUCCAAGCAGAUCCUUAAAAAGGCCAAAGUCUGCUGCUCUGCUAAUUCUCUUGCAGUUGUAGUGUUGUUUUGUGAUUUUGGUCUUUUCAAAAAUGUCCCCAAAGUCUGUGCUUUGUGAUGGUAAGGACAACAGUCUCACCUUACCCACAUGGGUACGUCAUUCUAAUGUGAAGGGGAAAUGUCCACUGGCAACAUCUUUGUCAUCAUUAUGCUAUCUGCUU